rnacentral:lncRNA from 1 species
UUUUCCUUGUCUCUGCCUCCCUAGGAUUCUAAACUGUCACCCCAGCCCAUUAUCAUUCUUUAACACCUUAUUCAAAGUCUAACUGUUUUCUCCUUAGUCACAGCUUGUUGUCUUCUUCGUCCUCCUGCUGCUGUUUCAUGAGAUAUAAACGCAGCCGUGGAUCCCUCCUCUUCAAGUCAAUGGGCUUCCAUGCCUUCUCUCUUCUCUCUGGCUUCAGCUAAUAGGAAGCCCUAGCAAAAGAUCUGAAGGAGAGAAGUGAGUGAAGUCAGCGUAUUCAUUCUUCUGGGUCCUUCCACUUCAAGGCUGCCUCCGACUGAUUGCGUCCCUAACCAAAGGCAGGAAGUGGAUGUCACUGUCCUUGUCCAUGAUGAAGGCUUUGAUGCUCUUGCCAACUGCACCUUCUUGACAGAGUCUCUCUGGGCGUCCCUUCUCUGCCAAACCCUAUUCUGCUUCUCCUCUGCUUGCUUGAUAAAAAGAAGAGAAGGAAGAAAUCAGAGAAGAAAAGGAGAGCAAGGACAAGAGGAAAGAGAGCGAACAGAAGAAAUUAAAGAAGAAAGGGAGGGAGGGAGGGAGAAAUGGAAGGAGAGACACAGGGAGGCACGGAAGGAGCGACUGAGAAAGGAAGGCAGGGAGCAAGAGAGGUGGGGCAAGGAUCUUACUGGAGCUCCAUUCCAAACAGGAGGAGGAGAGCUGCUUCAGGUGGAGCUGGGGGGGAUCUGGGUCCCCAGAUGCUUUGCCUUUUGUUCUCUUGCAGCACCUGAGGCAACUUUAAGAAUUUUAACACUCUUGAGAAGACAGGAAAUAACCCUUGUUCAGAGCUACAGCAGCCUUCCAGCUUUGCAAGUGUUAUUACUCACUCACUGGGUGUGCAAACAGGGAGAGCACUGGGCAAUACCCCGUGAUACUGAGACCUGUUUGCAGGAGUGUUCUACUCUCUGAGCCACACUUGGAAUCACUUACCUGCUGCAUUUGUUAGGUUUCCUAUUUUAAAAUUAAUAAAAACACAAGGAUAUACACUCACCUCAUGAUACUAGGGCUGGGCUGGAGAAGAAAUAGAAUUAGACGUGAUAAAAAUUAUAAAUUCUGUAAUAUAGCAUCUACGGGAAAAUCCCAUACUGGAAAAAAUGGUUGUCUUUUGUGGUGAGGAAUACGUAAGUGAGUAUUUUUAAUCAUGCUCAGUUGAGGGGAUAAACCCCAAUCAACCGAAUUCCUAAACACUGGAUAAUUGUAGAAAAGUAAAGAGAAACAGAAAUAAAUCUCAAAUAACUGAAUUAACUGCUGA